GCUCUCGUAGCCCAAUCGGCAGAGGCCGCCGGCUCAAACCCGGCCCAGUGCUGGUUCGAAUCCAGCCGGGAGCACCA
rnacentral:tRNA from 1 species